rnacentral:rRNA from 1 species
UACGAAGGGGGCUAGCGUUGCUCGGAAUCACUGGGCGUAAAGGGUGCGUAGGCGGGUCUUUAAGUCAGGGGUGAAAUCCUGGAGCUCAACUCCAGAACUGCCUUUGAUACUGAAGAUCUUGAGUUCGGGAGAGGUGAGUGGAACUGCGAGUGUAGAGGUGAAAUUCGUAGAUAUUCGCAAGAACACCAGUGGCGAAGGCGGCUCACUGGCCCGAUACUGACGCUGAGGUGCGAAAGCGUGGGGAGCAAACAGG